AUACGUAGGUGACAAGCGUUAUCCGGAUUUACUGGGCGUAAAGGGCGUGUAGGCGGUCUUGCAAGUCAGAAGUGAAAUUCCUGAGCUCAACUCGGGCGCUGCUUCUGAAACUGCAGGACUUGAUUGCUGGAGGGGAUAGCGGAAUUCCUAGUGGAGCGGUAAAAUGCGCAGAUAUUAGGAUAAACACCGGUGGCGUAGGCGGCUAUAUGGUCAGUAAAGUAGGCGGAGGCGCCAAAGAGUGGCAAGCAAACAGCAUUCGAUCCCGUGGUGGUCUACGACGUAAACGAUGAGCGAUCGCCGUCGGCGGCAGACAGUCGGCGGCCAAGCGAAAGCGAUAAGCGACCCACCUGGGUAGUACGGUCGCAAGGCGGAAACUCAAAUGAAUUGGCGGGG
rnacentral:rRNA from 1 species